UGUAAAACGGAUUUUAACUCGGCACAUGAUGAUUCACACAGGUGAAAAGCCAUAUACAUGUAUGAACUGUGGAAAAAUCUUUAGUCGCAAAGAUAGUUUGACUCUCCACAUGAGGCGUCACACAGGUGAAAAGCCGUUUUCAUGUGUGACCUGUGGAGAAAGUUUUCGUCACAAGGUGAGUUUAAUUCACCACUUGAGGCGUCACACAGGUGAAAAGCAGUAGAAGUAUUUUCCAUACAUGUUCUAUGUUGAGGUUCACUAUAGAACUGAUU